UUGUGUUCGAUAAUCAAUAUUCCAAAGGCCCACAACAGCGAUCAUGAAUUGCAUAGGACUCAUCACAAAUUGUCCACUGUUUCGGCUAAAAUCAUUCUUUUUUUGCAUGAAGUUGAGGACAGGGUGUUUUUUCAUCAGUUUGUUAUACCUGGCUUGGGGCGGUAUGCUUUUUAUAGAAGAACUCGCAUCUGCAGAGUUCAUGUUCACUUACAGCUUGGAGAGAAAAUACGUUUCUGUGCUUUUUGCAUACGAUGUAAUGCCAACUCUUAUGGUCACAUUUUCAAUAUUUUUCAUAUAUGGACUUUACAAGG